rnacentral:rRNA from 1 species
GACGAACGCUGGCGGCGUGCUUAACACAUGCAAGUCGAACGGAAAGGCCCUGCUUUUGUGGGGUGCUCGAGUGGCGAACGGGUGAGUAACACGUGAGUAACCUGCCCUUGACUUUGGGAUAACUUCAGGAAACUGGGGCUAAUACCGGAUAGGAGCUCCUGCUGCAUGGUGGGGGUUGGAAAGUUUCGGCGGUUGGGGAUGGACUCGCGGCUUAUCAGCUUGUUGGUGGGGUAGUGGCUUACCAAGGCUUUGACGGGUAGCCGGCCUGAGAGGGUGACCGGCCAAAUGGGGACUGAGAUACGGCCAAGACUCCUAGGGGAGGCAGCAGUGGGGAAUAUUGAACAAUGGGCGGAAGCCUGAUGCAGCAACGCCGCGUGCGGGAUGACGGCCUUCGGGUUGUAAACCGCUUUCGCCUGUGACGAAGCGUGAGUGACGGUAAUGGGUAAAGAAGCACCGGCUAACUACGU